GGCAGUGGUGGGCUUAGUGGUUAAGACAUUAGACUACUGAUCGGAAGGUCAUGAGUUUAAAUCCCAACAAUCUGCCU